AUUGAACGCUGGCGGCAGGCUUAACACAUGCAAGUCGAGCGAGCGGCGGACGGGUGAGUAAUGUCUGGGAAACUGCCUGAUGGAGGGGGAUAACUACUGGAAACGGUAGCUAAUACCGCAUACCAUCAGAUGUGCCCAGAUGGGAUUAGCUAGUAGGUGGGGUAAUGGAUCACCUAGGCGACGCUCCCUAGCUGGUCUGAGCGGAUGACCAGCCAAACUGGAACUGAGACACGGUCCAGACUCCUACGGGAGGCAGCAGGGGGGAAGAUUGCACAAUGGGCGGAAGCCUGAUGCAGCCAGGCCGCGGGUGUGAAGAAGGCCUUCGGGUUGUAAAGCACGUUCAGCGAGGAGGCGUUACUCGCAGAAGAAGCAAAGGCUAACUCCGUGCCAGCAGCCGCGGUAAUUC
rnacentral:rRNA from 1 species